rnacentral:rRNA from 1 species
CGUGUAGGCGGGAAAGUAAGUCGGGCGUGAAAUCCCCAGGCUCAACCUGGGAACUGCACUCGAAACUACUUUUCUUGAGUGUCGGAGAGGAAAGCGGAAUACCUGGUGUAGAGGUGAAAUUCGUAGAUAUCAGGUGGAACACCAGUGGCGAAGGCGGCUUUCUUGGACGAUAACUGACGCUGAGACGCGAAAGCGUGGGGAGGCAAAACA